GUCUCUUUGUAAUUUAUAAAUAAAGAGUCGGGCCUGCUCGGUGAAUAAGAUUGUUUUAACAGCUGCGGUAUUUUAACUGUACUAAGGUAGCAUAAUAAUUUGCCUUAUAAUUUGAGGCUAGAAUGAAUGGUUUGACGAAGGUUAAUCUGUCUCUAUUCUAUUUUUUAGAAGUUAAUUUUUAAAGUGAAAAAGCUUGUAUUUUUUAAAGGGACGAGAAGACCCUAUUGAGCUUAUAAUUUUAUUAGUUAUUAGUGUUUUAAUACACAAGGUAAUAUAUAAAUUUUAAUUGGGGUGAUUAAGGAAUAAAAUAUGGAAUUAAGUAACUUCCUUGGUUUAAAUAUUGUUAAAUAAAGUAACCAAUAUUAUUGCUUAUAGUAUAGUUACCAUAGGGAUAACAGCGUAAUUUAUUUAGAGAGUUCCUAUUGAAAAAUGAGAUUGCGACCUCGAUGUUGGAUUAAAGUAACCUUAAGGUGCAGAAGCUUUAAAAGGUAAAUCUGUUCGAUUUUUAAAACUUUACA
rnacentral:rRNA from 2 species